rnacentral:rRNA from 1 species
AGGGUUUGAUCCUGGCUCAGAACGAACGCUGGCGGCGUGGCUAAGACAUGCAAGUCGAACGAGCUAGGCAAUUGAGCAAUCGAACGCCUAGUUAGUGGCGAAAGGGUUAGUAAUGGCUAGGUAACGUACCCUGUACUUCGGGAUAGCGUCUGAGUGCUUGCACUCUUCCGAAAGGGGCAUUAAUACCGAAUGAUAUCCCCCGUCGAUGGGCGGGUGAUCAAAGAUUUAUCGGUGCAGGAGCGGCCUAGUUCCUAUCAGCUAGUUGGUGAGGUAACGGCCCACCAAGGCGAUGACGGGUAGCGGGACUGAGAGGUUGGCCCGCAACAUCGGGACUGAGACACUGCCCGGACCUCCACGGAGGGCUGCAGUAACGAAUAUUGGGCAAUGAGCGAAAGCUUGACCCAGCGACGCCGCGUGUAGGAGGAAGUCCUUCGGGAUGUAAACUACUGUCAGGGGGAAGAAAGUCCGUUUCGGCGGAUUGAUCUAACCCAGAGGAAGUCACGGCUAACUUCGUGCCAGCAGCCGCGGUAAGACGAAGGUGGCAAGCGUUGUUCGGAAUCACUGGGCUUAAAGCGUGUGUAGGCGGAAGCGUAAGCGUUUUGUGAAAUCCCUCGGCUUAACCGAGGAAUUGCUUGACGAACUGCGCUUCUUGAGGCAGGUAGGGGUGCGAGGAACUCUUGGUGGAGCGGUGGAAUGCGUAGAUAUCAAGAGGAACGCCGGUGGAGAAGUCGUUGCACUGGGCCUGUCCUGACGCUGAGACACGAAAGCGUGGGGAGCGAACGGGAUUAGAUACCCCGGUAGUCCACGCCGUAAACGAUGCCUACUAGGUUGUGGCGGUUCUGACGCCGGCACAGCCGAAGCCAAAGUGUUAAGUAGGCCGCCUGGGGAGUACGGUCGCAAGGCUAAAACUCAAAGGAAUUGACGGGGGCUCACAC